UUUAAUCUUAAAGGGAAAAAUAUUUAAAAUUUCACUGUAACGAAGGUGUUUGCUGAGGUUAUUGAAAGAUACCUUCAGUCAACCUUAGGGAGUUUCCUAAUUUUAAGUAUUUUGCUGUUUUUAAGUAAAUUUUGAAAUGUAUUGCUUUUUUUUUUUCUAACUCUUGGGAAAAUACGGGGCAGUAGUCAUUGUGCCAUUUCCAACCAUUUCAGUGUCUCUAUUGUUGAACACAUAUAGGAUUGUACUUCUUUGUCCUCUGGAAGUCAGGUUGGCCGUGUGACUUCCUUCAGCUUAUAUAGUACGAAUAGAAGAGACAUGUCAGUUCUGGACAGAAAUUUUCGAAGUCAGUGUGGUGUAGUUCACCGGGUUCCCUUUUCCCGACUCAGUGAUUGUAUAAGCAUGUAGAGAGAAGCAGUGCCCAUCAGCCCGGACCCUCGGUGACUAUGAUGAGCAGAAUCUCCUUGCCAGUGUUCAUUGCCCUGGUAAUAGGGGCAAAAUCUAAUUUUUAUCAUAAUAAACUACUCAGCUAUUGUUAUUUAUUCAUGGAGAAUAACCUAACCUAUCCUUUAUUUCUCUCUCUAUGCUAAACCAUUCUUUCAUUUAAGGCACUUAACAUUGAUCAUAAUAUACUAUUUAUUAAUAUUUUUAUUCUGUAGCUUCCUUUUGUUGAUACUGCUGUAUUUGGUAUACCUGUUAGACAGAACCAGGUAAGCCAUGCAGCUUAGAGAAUAUUUUCUUUAAAAAAAUUCCUUUCCAAGUGUGGAAUGGGUGAGAGAAAAAUAAUUGAGUAUGUAGCCCCUGUCCUCAGGGAUAAGUCAAACAAUUUAUUGGAAGAAAUUAAAUAAGUUCCCAAAGACAAUUCUAAACGAGCCAUGUGAGCUUUAGGGAAAAAAGAAAAAGAAAAAAGAAAUAUUUUUCUACCAGAAAGAGUGGAUCAGAAAGGCUUUCUAGAAAAGGUGACAUUUAAAUUGAGCUUGAAGGAUCAACACAGUAAUGACAGGAGAAUUCUAGGCAGGACCAUUAACUAAAUAUACCAGGAGAAAAGUAUAAGCAAGAUGCAGUAAUGGAACAGCAAACUAUAUGGUGUGGCUUACUUAUAAUAGCAGAGAUAAACUGUAGGAAGAUAAAUUUGAUUCAUUGCUAUCAAAGAUUUUUGAGUAGGGGAGAAAUUGUGUUGUUGUUUUAAGAAGAUGAUUAAUCUUGCCCUUAUAUUUAGAAUGAGUUGCAAGAGGUGGGUGCUAGAGGUCAUGAGAGGUUGGGAGGGGCAAGGAUUUUUAAUUGUUGAGGUGAGAUACUGAAGGCCUGGAAAAGGGGAUGAAAAAGAUGGGAACAGCUUUGAGUUUUAUUGAGCUGUUCAUGUAUUCAUCUGUAACUAAGCCCUUGAAAACCUAAAAUUCUUUAUUUUCGUAUGUUGCAAGCCUUAUAAAUGGAGUCCAUAACUGCAUAAGCCUUAUUGGAUAACCACUCCAAAUGUAGUAUUUUAUGUUAUUGGACACUGACUCAAUGUGCUGAGGAUCAAUACUAAAACCAAAAGUGAAAAUACAUGCCUUGAAGAAGAAGAGUUGGCAGCACAAAAUUCUGGGAAUUAGUUCACCCAUCUACAAAGGCUAAAGAUAUUUUCACAGGCCCCCAGAAGAUGAACUUCAAUCUGCUGCUCCCAAAUGCAUUCUCCACUGUCUGGAAGACGUGCAAAGGGAACGGCACAGCGUUCUCCAUCUCAAAUCCUUCAAAGUGCUGUGGGAAUAAAAGAAUCCCCGCCAAAAGCCCCAGAGAGAUCUGUCUGUCUGUAUGGUAUGGUAAUGACUGAGGCUAGUCCAGAUAGGCUUCUGGGAGAAACCCAGCUAUUGAAACCUAAUGAAUGGAACUGAGAAUUUCUUGCCACAAUACUAUUUGUUUCUUUGAUCGGUCAUAUCCUUGUAUCAUAGAAGACAUCAAAAUAAAUAAUAAAAGCAAGAUAUUGUUGAGUUGGUCUUUGAAUUUCCAUUUGAUUAUAUAUUCUGAGAAAUCUUCUUAUAGAGAAUUUUGCAACCAGAAUUAUUUUCUCUGCCAGUCAUUUGCCUCUCUAGUUGCAUGGCAUUUUUACCUCUUCCCUGUUCCAAUGUCAGCAACCAGGUUUCUAUUCAGGAUUGUAUUUUUCUAAUCAGCAACAGAGAGUGCAACAAUUUUUGUGCUCUCUCGGUUACCAAAAUAUGGAUAUAGUCUUUUUUCUCCUUUAUUUUUGUUGGAUAAUGCUUUCAAAAUAUUCAGUUUCUUUUUCCUUUGGAAUACAUUCACAUUCAUGGUAGAAAUAAUAUGAAACGAGUAGUAGGCGGUAAAUAAAUGGUCGUUUGGAUUUUUCAUCACCUAGAGAUAAUACUUCUUAAACUAAGUGUGAUUAUUUAUGGCAGUGAAAGUUAAGCCUUAUUUUCACCAAAGACUUUCAGGGCUCCUUGUUCUUUUCUCAAAGGCAAUCCUAUUGCCAGUGUCUUGUGUUUUCUUUCAGAGGUGUCCAUGCAGACAUCUUAAUAUAUGCAACUUGUACAUGAAAAUGAUAUAUUUUCAGUUUUUAGCUCCUAGUUUUUUCACAUAAUGAUAAAUGUUGAAACCAGAAUCUGUAUGGGGGAACAUAGUGGGAUUAUUCCUGUGCUGUGGGGCCAGAGGGUUGGGGGUUUGAAGAGGGAGACUAAGAGUCUUGCUUUAAAGCUGGCUUUACUAAGCAAGCCUACCAUUAUCUGUGAGGCUGAUGGGGCUGGUCAGUAAAUGGAAAAGGUAAUGGCACAUGUUUUUAUUCACACUUUAUGUAACACUGAGAAACACUGUCCAUAAAAACAACAACAUUGUUAACAUUAUUUUAAUUUGUCGUAUUUUGAGUUAACUUAAUAUGAUUUGUCUAGAACAACUAAUCUCUCUGUCCAGUCCUAAAAUGAGAGGAUUUUAGAAGUUCUUUGUCAUUUGCUAUCAAAAACAAUGUUGUAAUAAACAUCCAUGAAGACAUGGUUGCGGGCACACAUAUCAAUCUGCUUGUACUCCAAGUUACUAGAAGUUGAAUUACUUAGGUCAAAACAUAGUAUACAAAGAUGCUUACCAUCAGUGAACCAGGACAGGUGUUUAGGAGUACCUCUGGGAGCUGAGGGCCCCAUGGAACCAAAGGUGUCACAUCAGGAAGCACAGUGAGAUGAAAUUUCCCUCUGUGAGCAGCUGCCAAUUUUCAUGUCAAGCUGAGAUGUUGCCAGGGCCAGGCUGACUGUGCUCUUGAAUAUACCAUUUCACCUGACAAGUGAGGUUUAUCAGGCCUUUCCCAUCCCAUUAGUCAUUGAGUCCUGGUUGACCCACCCCAAAAAUGGUAACAUCAAGCCAUAGAGUCAUAAAGGUUUCUGUGGAUCAGGUAUUUAGCUUCGCUGAGAGCCUAGUAGCAAGCUAUUAACUGGUUUCAAAAAAAACAAAAAACAAAAAACAAAAAAACAAAAAAAAACUUACCUGGUAGCCAUGCCAGAGAGGCAAUGAGUCUGAAAUCCCAAAGGGUCCCUCAGGGUGGAGGCUACCUCCCUUAUCCAGGGACCCUAGUUGACUGAAACUUGUCAGCCAAACUUGAGCUCGAAGGCAUCAUUAGGGUUGUGAGUUCUAUUAGCACUUCUCUACAUGCGGCCUUUCUGGGAUUGGGAGAAACCUCUCGGCUUUCAUGGGAUGAGGAAGUACAUUCAGAUGGAAAAGCAGCAAUAGUACAUUAAAUUGGCCCAAACCCCUCAGCCUCCAAGAUCGUAUUAGCGUCCCUUUCCCACUGUGAACCUUGCCCAAAAUCCACUGGCUGAUUCUGGGUGCCCACUAUCCCCUGCCACCGGAGUAGGUAAGAUGACAAUUUGGGCAGUUGCAUCCAGCAGAGUUCCCCAGCAUAAUAAAACCAGAGUGUAUGACCUUUGGUCUCCCUGGGGGACAAGGAGACCUCUCUGUAAAGCAGCUGAGAUCAGGAUAGAAUUGAAGAGAUUAAUCAGAGGGCAUCAGUUGAGAGAGAGGCUCCUUGCCAGUAAACAAGGCAUUGUAUUCAAUUUGAACAGGUUUUGAGUAGAUUCUAGCUCGUGGCUCAACAAAAAGAACUCCUAUUUUGGUCUGCCCAAAGCUCUGUGUUGAAUGGUAAGAUCCUCAUUGCUGAUGCCCCUUAUUUUGGCUUUGAGGACUCUGGUUCAUCAUUGCAGCCUCAUCACUUUCUGUCUGAGACUGUAGAGAUCGAUGCCUCAUUGUCAUGGUAACAUUUGCUCAUCCACCCUCCCAGAAGAGCGUGAGCAAUAACCAAGGCAUCAUUUGGGCAGUUUGGUUUAAUACCACCUCUCACUGCUGUAAACAUUUAUUAACAGGCAGGACAGCAGGGAACCUUUACUACCAUUACAUUUAAUUUUAACAUAUUUUUCAGGUUUUCUCUACCAAGAGGCUGUUAAAAUUAACAUUUUGAACAGGUGUGUCCAAGAAUGACAUACUCUCUAAUGUGGAAAAAAUAAAUAAGCCUCUAUUCUUCAAUCUUUCCUAGAAAAGUAACUUAAUGUAGAGAGAGACCAUAGAUUUUAAUUAGAAUUUUUUAGUCCUAAUAAAAUUGGCUGCUAUAACAAAAAAUAGACUAGGUGGUUUAUAAAUAAUGGAAAUUUAUUUCUCACAGUUCUGGAGGUUGAGAAGUCGAAGAUCAAGGCAGUGAAAGAUUCAGUGUCUGGUGAGGAUCCACUUCCUGGUUCAUAGACAUCCAUGUUUUCACUGUGUCCUCACUGAUGGCAGAGAUGAAGGAGCUCUCCUGUUAGUGUCCUUACAUGAAUCCCAUUCAUGAGGGCUCCACCCUUAUGACCUAAGCACCCCCCAAAGUCUUCAUCUUCAAAUACCAUCACAAUGGGGAUUAGAUUUCAACCUAUGAAAUUGGGAGGGACACAAAUAUUCAGCCUAUAGCAAAGUUUAGUAAAGGACCUUGAAUAUAAUGGUUAGAUAAUUGAUACAGCUGUUUCAAAAGGACAAAGCUCUCUUAUAGCAAUUGUAUCUUAUUAGAUGGAUAAGAAAAGACUAGGAAAUAUUUGCAUGCUUGUUUUCAUAAAAUUUAAUAUAAAUCUAUAUUUAGCCUGUAUCUUGUCAUCAUUAAAUUCGAGUUUUUGUCUGUUUAUUUCAAAAGGACAAAAGGGUUUCUUUCUGUUAUUAAAAGAUUCUGAGGACUUUUCACUUGUAAUUCCAAAUGUGUGUUUUUAUGAAAUAAGUAUAUUUGUUAACAUUACACUUCUUAUAAAACUCUGUAAUCACUUGUUUUUAACUAUGUUUCUUGAAUGAGGUUGAGGUUACCCACUAGUCUCAUAAUAAUUUAACUCACUUUAAGACUUCACUGAUUUAUUCUGUUACUACCUUGGUAGUGGCUUGAACUUAAUUUGGUAGUGUCAAAAACAUGGUGAGAAUAUUUGUUAAGCUUUCUACUACUGUAUAAUCUUGUUCAUAAUAAAUCUUGUGAUUUAACAUAUUCAGUUCUGACAGCAAGCUCUAACUACUCAAGCUUUUCUUCUUUAGAAAAAUCUGUGUCAGCAAUGAGUAUUAUCACUUGGGAUUUCUGCUCAGCCAGUAAAGUAAAAAUGGGACCUCACUGUUGCAUUAAUCCACUCUGGAUGAAAUUCAGGUCCUCAGGAUUUGUAUUUAUUUAUGUCAGUCAACUACUAUCUCUGAUCAAAGAUCAUAGCAAAUGAGAACCAACUGUUAUUGGUGAGAGUCAACAGAAUCAACAAACAAUAGAUAUCAACCUCAUGGACUGCAGACAUUGGAAUGAUUAGAUAUAAGACAUGUAUAUAAUAAUUUUUAAAUGGACAGUAAUAUGUUUCUUGAACUAGCAGGUGGCUUUUACCAAAAUACAACUGUUAAAAAUGAAAAUAUAUAAUCUUUAAAUUAAAAAUU